ensembl:lncRNA
UAGAAUGUAUAGUAACAAGGUUCUACUGUAUCGAACAGGGAACUAUAUUCAAUAUCCUGUGAUAAACCAUACAAUAAAAGAAUAUUUUAAAAAAGAAUGAAUGUAGGUGUAUAACUGAAUCACUUUGCUGUAUAGCAGAAAUUAACACAACAUUGCAAAUCAACUAUAAUUCAAUUAAAAAAACUGAUGAAGCCUAUAUUCAAGACUCCACCACAUCUUUACCGACUUCCUAAAAGCCUCAUGGAUGGAGAGGAAGAAAGCAAGAGGUAGGGCUCCUAUCCAGGCUGAAUUGGGUGAGAUAGCAGUGUGCCAGUGAGGGACAUGGUUAAAGAAGUGUAAAGAGUUCUGUGAUCUGAUGAGGGGCUGCCAUGGUUUAAUAACAACCUGUAGAAUUUGAGAGCAGAGAGAAAGACAAGUGUAAGAAAAGAGAUAAAGAAGGAAAUGAGCUUUAAAACAAAUCUAAGAGAAUUUCAUCAGUAAUCACAAGGAGGCCUUGAAAUUGACCUAGUUGGGGUAUGAAAUGAGAGAAGUAGGAAACAUUUGUUUUUGCAAGAAUAAAAGCCACUAGUACAGAAACUGAUGAGUAAUAGGUUGAUUACACUUAACGCGUGUAUGAGGACCUGAGGUUAUUAUGUAUAUAAACACUUAGAAGUUAAUACUAUUAUAGCUUGAUUUAGUGAUUUUACAUCCAACAGACUCCACUCUGCAAUUCCUUUGAAAAGUGAAGACUUGGAUUUUUAAGUAGUAGAAUGAUUUACAAAAAUCCAGUGAAAUGUACUUUGUGUACAAUUAAGCAUACUAGUGGGGAAAAUGGGAUUUAUAAAACAAUUAUUAUUAAAACAUGAUUCUAUGGUAUACUUAAUGCUGGCACAUUUAUGUAAGAGUGUCUAGGUGUUUAUUAUGGAGGUGUGUUGGUGUGUGUGCACACGUGUGUAAAAGCAUUGUUUCAAACUGUAUUCAAAACAAGGUGGGUAGAAGACCAAGUCUGCUGAGAGAAGUAUGAAAUGCCAUUAUUAAAAACAAAACUGCUGACAAUGGUUCUUAAUCUGAUUUUUUCACUCUUUUUGAUGAGUGAUGAGUCAGGCAUCAUCUAGAUUGGAAAGCAGAACCCCUCUGAUCCCUGCCCUCAUGGGGCUUACAGUUUGGUUAACUCCCUUGGCAAGUCUGUUUUUCCAUUGCAUAGACUGUAAGGGCAUAAAACAUACUAUACUGCCGCUGGGGGAUGUGUGAGUUUUUUUUCCCCCAGUCCCCCAUAAUUAAUGUGUGUCCUUGCGUAAGCCACUUCACUUCCGAGAUCCUACUGACUUGUAGUUUAUCUGAAAAUGUAUGUAAAUUCUGUGUGUAAAUUCCCGUUCAUAUUUUCCAGAGGAGAAUGUCCAUAGCUUCAUUAACCUCUCAGAGAUCCAUGAGUAACUUUCACGACCCCUCCUAAAGAUCCUAGUGGUUAAAAGUUAGUCUCAUCUAUAACACCUAGGUCUAUUUUGUGGAAUGUUCCAAGAUAAGAACAGUUGCCAGUCUGAGAGCUAGAAGGGAAGGUGAAAUCAUUUGAUGGAUCAACAUCAUUUUCUAAACACAAAGCCGAGGGACCAGAUGGUUUUUGAAAAUGGAAGCAAAUUGAAAUAUGAAGACGUGAUUUAAUAGCAGGUUCUUUGGUGUCUCUUCCCUGAAGGAAUUUCCCUUCUCUUGUCUCUGUUUCCCAGAUCACUCCUGAGGCUCCCUCACAGUCCAUCUGACAGGGUCCAACUUGGCUCUCUCUUGAAGCAGACAGGGAUGAAGUGCUGGCCACUCCUUAGUGGUUCCCUGGAUGCUCUUGGCCCUCUGUGGUAUGCACCCCGACUGCCAAAGCCGAGGGAUGCUCUGGGAUGACAAGCUAAGCGAAUUGUAAAUGCCCAAUCACCACGCUUGUUCUGGGGCUAUGUAAGCCACAGUGGAGCAUAAUUGUGCGGAUUGCUGCGCGAGCCUUUUGGAAAAGGAAGGAGCCGCCUCAGUCAGCUUUCUUUUUAGCUCAAUGAUUACAGCUGAAUCCACAGACAAGUAACACUGAUUCUUUAUGUUAAGGUACAAUGGGUUUUUAAUUGACACUUAUAUUUCUAACUGCUUUUUGACCUAUAACGUGAUAGCUGUUAUAGGAUCUAGCGUUCUAGGAAACGUCAUUAACUAAAUCCCUUUCUGCUAGCUGUUUAUUCUUAUCCAGAAAUUAAAUAACUUCUAAUAGCUUAUGAAUACUUUUCCUCCUUUGUUCAAGGUGUAAACUCCCAAUAUCACUGAGUGAGAUUCUUCUCCCUUUUCACUGAUCAUCUAAUAUAGGAUCUCCUGCUGAAGGGACUCAGGGCACUGGCUUGAGCAUGUCGACAAUGGUUAUGGAGGGUGUGGUCUAUGGAAUGACCGCCCACUUUGGUGACAAGGAACCUGCAGCUCAGUGAAGUAAGGCUACUUGUCCAAUUCACAGUGAUGAAAAAGAAUGGACCUUCUGGGUGUUGGGUUUUCUGGUGUAGUGUGUGUUCCUUCUAACAAAGCAUGGCCACAGAUAACAAUCUCAGCCCCACUUGUUUGUCCAACAGACUACCUCACCACGACCCUCCCCUUCUAAAAGGUCUGAAAUGUCUGUCAUUGGAAGUAACACACAUCAGGAGUUCCUGUUGUGGCACAGUGGAAACAAACCCGAUUAGUACCCAUGAGGAUAUGGGUUCGAUCCCUGGUUUGCUCAGUGGUUUAAGGAUCUGGCAUUGCCAUGAGCUCUGGUGUAGGUCGCAGGUGCCGCUCAGAUCCCAUGUUGCUCUGGCUGUGGUGCAGGUUGGUAGCUGCAGCUUUGAUUCAACCCCUAGCCCAGAACUUCCAUAUGCCACACAGUUGGCCCUAAAAAGCAAAAACAAGAAAAAGAAAAAAGAAAAAAAAAAAA